GGAUUGGCGAGUUUGAUCCUGGCUCAGGAUGAACGUUGGCGGCGUGCCUUACCAAUGCGAGUCGAACGGUACGGGGAGGCUCUUCGGAGCGCCCACGACCGUGGCGUCCGGGUGCGUAACACGUAGCUAACCUACCGGUCGGUGGGGGAAAACUCCGGGAAACCGGAGGUAAUCCCGCAUAUGGUCGCCUGGUAGACAGGUGGACGAAAGCUGUGGCAGGGGAACCUGUCAUGGCGCCGGCUGAGGGGGCUGCGGCCGAUUAGCUAGUUGGUGGGGUAAUGGCUCACCAAGGCAGUGAUCGGUAGCGGGUCUGAGAGGAUGAUCCGCCACACGGGGACUGAGAUAUGGUCCCGAGCCCUACGGGGUUUAGCAUGG
rnacentral:rRNA from 1 species